UCUGACAGGAUGAAAGCUGAGUGAGGUUGCCCAACUUCUGUUUUGGAGAAGUUUUUCCAAGUGUAUGGAGUUAUGCCAAAAAAAGCACUUGCCUCAAUAUCUUGAGAAGUCAUUGGUAUGCUUGGGGAAGUAUAUAGAAGAUGGAAAACACAUAGCAGGUGUGGAAAAAUAUAUUAACAUGUAGAAUAUGUCAUGUUCAAUAGACUCUUGGGAAUCUGGAGGGGUGAACUGCUGAAAGAUGUAACUUGGGAAGAAGAAGUGGAAGGAAUUCAGAGAAUGGAGGACUUUUAGUUGUGCAUUUUGUGUUAUGAUUGAUGCAUGAAUGUGAUGUUAGACUCCUAGAACAUUUCUUUCAGAUGAAACAUCCUAAAUGAACCCUCUGCAUUGCUUAUAUUUGAGCUAAAGUUUCAGCUUCCAGGACAUCCUAAGUUUGUACCUUUGCCAGAGGAAGACUUCAGGGUCAAGCCACUACUUAACAGUGCAGACUGAUACUAUUUUUUU
rnacentral:lncRNA from 1 species